ensembl:lncRNA
CUAGGGUCACACAUCUGAUGCUCAUCUUUUCCUUUUUUUUUUUUUAACUUUACCUUCUGUUUUAAAAUCAAUAUUGUUUAUUGGCUUCAAGGCAGAAGAGUGGUACAAAUAUUGGUUAAAUGACUUCCCCACUGUCACACAGCUAGGAAGUAUCUGAGAUCAAAUUUGAACCCAGGACCUUGGUCUUUAGGCCUGGCUCUCAACCCACUGAGCCACCCAGCUGUCCCCUAUUCUCACCUUUUCUAAACAUUUCUCAAUCUUUCAUUCUAUCGGCCCAUGCCUUUCUGACUACAGGAAGUUCACUGCUUAUGGAGCCCUGCAUAUUCUUUUUUAUUCUACCAGUGACACAAUUAUAUUAGCCUCUGGGGAAGCUUCUGGCUGACUCUGGACUCCCAGUAAAAACUUAGUUUUGGAUGUCCCAUUUUCCAAAUAUCAAUGCUUUGGGGGAAUGAUGUUUUGUCUGUAAUGCUGACUCUCAGGGCUUCAUGACCUCUGACAUAGGCAUGACUGAGACAAUAGGGAAGGACUCAGAAAGUAUUAAGGAUGUCACAUUUCCUGAGUUGGUGACAUCCGGUCCUUCCCUGUACUUUAUGUCCAAAUUUCAGGAAGAUUGCCAGCAGCCAGAUACAAAACUUUGCCACGAAUACAAACAACAUGGCAAAUCCAGCUGAGUGGUGGGGAUUGCUGGGGUGGCAGGGAGAUUUGUGAGUAGGGAAUGGGAGUUCAGUAUGGCUCUGGGAAAAUCUGACAUGGAUGUAGAUUAUCUUCUAUUCCUCUAUCCUUUUCCCUUGACCUCUGCUACUGGUUUGCAUCUUCUCUCCCUUCUCCUUUAUCGGUGUUCUUAUUUCCUCCUAACUCCCACAGUCUGUGGACCAGUUGGGAGUUCCCCUGCCCUUUCAGCCAUGGAAGAAAUGUGGCCCCUCUGGAUGCUGAUGCCUGGUUGCCUUUCUUUACUUAUUCUCGAUCUUGUUCCUAUCCUAUCCCUGUGAGGGUGGGUAGGAUCCGGAAUCCCAAUGUAUAUCUGGAAGGAAAUGGCUUACGUUGGCAAGAGAGGCAGGAAAGGAGAGGGAAGGGAACCUACCGAGUGCCAGGUGCUAAGUGCUUUUUACAAAUGAUCUCAUUUGAGGUGGCCCCGUGGACAGAUACAGUGCUUGGAAUCAGGAAGAUCUGUCUCAGAAAGCUCCUCACUAUCCAGCCCUUGGUGUUAUGGAAGAAAAAUCUCCUUUUUGAGUUCAUGUGGUUGGUAACUGCUGCCAAAAUGGAUCUCCUACAAUGCAGAAAUUGUAAAGCCAGAAGAGGCAGCAGAGAGCACCAAACUCCGAUGAAAAGCUUUGCCUUUCUCCAACUCUAGGUGGUGCUGAAGAACAGUGGCUAUCCCUGAACCUCUUGGCUAAUGAAGUCAAUGCUUUCUCUGCCAAUUGGGAAUCACUGGACAAGACUUUUUGUCAAUUCCAAAAGACUUAUGAAGAGAAAAGCCAUGCAUCUACAGCAAAAGAAUUGGAGUCUGAAUGCAGAUUGAAGAAUACCUUUUAAAAAACUUUAUAAUUCUUGGAGUUUUCUGGCCUGAAUUUUCUUUUGCAACAUUUUUAAUAAGGAAGUGUUUUAUGUAACUACACAUCUAUACAUGGAUAAUCGGUAUCAAAUGGCUUGCCUUCACAAGGAAGAACAGAAUUUGGAAUUCAAAAAUUCUUUUUUUAAUUUUAUUUAUUUAUUUUUUAAAACCCUUACCUUCUGUCUUGGAAUCAAUACUGUGUGUGUAUUGGUUCCAACGAAGAAGAGUGGUAAGGGCUAGGCAAGUGACUUGUCCAGUCACACAGCUGGGAAGUGUUUGAGGUCAUAUUUGAACCCAGGACCUCCUGUCUCUAGGCCUGGCUCUCAUCCACUGAGCUACUCACCUGUCCCCCAAAAUUCUUUUAAACGAAUGUUAAAAAUUUUUGUUUGCAUGUAAUUGAGAAAAAUGAAAUUUAAAUUAAUAAAAGCCUAAUGUUAAAAACUGUUUUACA